CACGACUCCUGAGGCUACAUCAUAAAAGGCACUGCAGCUUCCACCUUGGUGUUUCAGAUUUCUCACUCUGGGAGAAGCUAGCAGCCAUACCAUGACACACUCAAGCAGGUCCAUGAAUAUACUCAUGUAGAGAGAAACUGAGGUUCCCAUCAACAGCUAGAACCGACCUGGUGACCACGUGAUUAAGCUACUUAGGAAGUGGCUCCAGCCCCAGUCAAGCCCUCAGAUGACUGCCACCCCAGCUGACAUCUGAGUAUAACUGCCUACAAGACCCUAGAAGUGUUGGGAUAUAACUUAUUGCUCACCCUGGGAAAAGCCAGCUGCCAUGUUAUGAGGCAUCCCUGUGGAGAGAUCUCGAUAUAAAGAGCAUAUGAAAAGCAGGUUGGGACUGGUGAGAAGACUGUGUAGUUGGACUGGUAAUUGUUUUUCUGUUUAAAUGACAACAAACUCCUCAAACCGUGAGGCCAGGUCUUCCUGAGGCCAGGUGGCACACCACAAGCUCCUGUGGGGCAGUUACACAAGCUGGCCUAUUAUUUGAAGAAGGACUGCAAAGAUUCAGAGCAAUUUGCUUUGGGAAAAAUGACAUCAGAAGUGAUAUUCAAUUACUCCUUUUAGAUGGAUUUCCAGAGAGACUGACUUUGUUCAUGAGCAACGACACAUCUUCUACACAGAUGGAUGGGAAGAAAGAAGAGAGAGGUGUAGACAAAGAUACAUUUCUAAGUGUGUUUGCAAGGGGGCCAGGAGGCAGACAGCAUGUGACCUGGGGUCCUCUGUGUUCUCUGUACAGCAGGAGAUGAGAACAUGCUGAGUGUUGGAGAAGUGGUGGUCAUCCCACUUGCUGUCCUGUGAUCCCCCACCCCACCUCUGGGACGUUGCCUCUUUUUGCUCUUGUAUCUUCAAUGCCUUUCUUCCUACCAGUUCUUCCAUUCAGCUGGUUAACAACCCCAAGAUUCUUUUAUUCCUCCCUCCAAAAGUUCCCCUGACUCUCAUCCUUCAUUCCCUCUUUCUUGAAACUCUCUCCUACAUGGUUCCUGGGACACCGUAUUCUCUUGGUCUACCUUAUUAUCCUAUUCGAUCUCUAUUUUAUUUUUGAGUUCUUCUCAGACGCUCUUUCCCAGAUUUCUCUACCCUGUUUCUCCUCACUGACUGCUGCAGUCAGCCUCCUUGAAUGUAUGUCUCUCAAUUCUAGCUGCUGUCCUAAGCAAGGCUUGAGCAGAACACCAGGUAUUGAGUAUAAUUAAAAUAUGCUUAUCCUCUCAGAAAUCUAUGUUCAGAAGCACCCUUAAUCCUUUUGCUGCUUGCAUUACACUCAACCUUACAAAAUAAAGUGAUA
rnacentral:lncRNA from 1 species